GGCGAACGGGUGAGUAACACGUGGGUGAUCUGCCCUGCACUUCGGGAUAAGCCUGGGAAACUGGGUCUAAUACCGGAUAGGAGCCAUUUUUAGUGUGAUGGUUGGAAAGUUCUUUCGGUGUAGGAUGAGCUCGCGGCCUAUCAGCUUGUUGGUGGGGUAAUGGCCUACCAAGGCGGCGACGGGUAGCCGGCCUGAGAGGGUGGACGGCCACAUUGGGACUGAGAUACGGCCCAG
rnacentral:rRNA from 1 species